rnacentral:lncRNA from 1 species
CAAUCCCCAAAUCUCGGUGACUUACUCAUCCAGUAUCACGGUUCAAUGUGGGUCACUGGGAGAGCGGGAGAGGGCACUCUUUCUCAAAGACUUCAUGGGUGCAUCUAGAAGCUCUGCCUUUUCUAGGGGACUGAGUCCUCCAGUGAAUCCUCUGAAAAUCCUCUGAACCUGGCUGCAGAUGAGGGAGAAGAGAGCCUAGAGAAUCUCAAGGGAAGAUUUGUGGCCAGAUCCAGAAGGGGCGUUCCUAACUCUUCCUCACACAUUCCAUGCGUUGGCCAGAACUCAGUCUCGCAGUCCACCUGGAUGCAAGAAUGGUGGGCUAGCAGCGUGUCCAGGAAGAAGACAACGCGGAGACAGGUAUCCUUCUAGGAGGACGGAGAGGGAGCUUCAAGACACAGAGACACAGAGGAGAAGGCCAUAUGAAGAUGGAGGCAGAGACUGGAGGCGCCAUUGCCAAGCAACACUGCGGAUCACCUGCA